rnacentral:rRNA from 1 species
UAGCUAGUUGGUGAGGUAAAGGCUUACCAAGGCGACGAUCUGUAGCGGGUCUGAGAGGAUGAUCCGCCACACUGGAACUGAGACACGGUCCAGACUCCUACGGGAGGCAGCAGUGGGGAAUUUUGGACAAUGGGGGCAACCCUGAUCCAGCCAUGCCGCGUGAGUGAAGAAGGCCUUCGGGUUGUAAAGCUCUUUCGGCCGGGAAGAAAUCGCAUGGGCCAAUACCCUGUGUGGAUGACGGUACCGGAAUAAGAAGCACCGGCUAACUACGUGCCAGCAGCCGCGGUAAUACGUGGGGUGCGAGCGUUAAUCGGAAUUACUGGGCGUAAAGCGUGCGCAGGCGGUUUUGUAAGACAGGCGUGAAAUCCCCGGGCUUAACCUGGGAACUGCGUUUGUGACUGCAAGGCUAGAGUACGGCAGAGGGGGGUGGAAUUCCACGUGUAGCAGUGAAAUGCGUAGAGAUGUGGAGGAACACCAAUGGCGAAGGCAGCCCCCUGGGUCGAUACUGACGCUCAUGCACGAAAGCGUGGGUAGCAAACAGGAUUAGAUACCCUGGUAGUCCACGCCCUAAACUAUGUCAACUAGGUGUUGGGUGGGUAAAACCAUUUAGUACCGUAGCUAACGCGUGAAGUUGACCGCCUGGGGAGUACGGCCGCAAGGUUAAAACUCAAAGGAAUUGACGGGGACCCGCACAAGCGGUGGAUGAUGUGGAUUAAUUCGAUGCAACGCGAAAAACCUUACCUACCCUUGACAUGCCAGGAACUUGCCAGAGAUGGCUUGGUGCCCGAAAGGGAGCCUGGACACAGGCGCUGCAUGGCUGUCGUCAGCUCGUGUCGUGAGAUGUUGGGUUAAGUCCCGCAACGAGCGCAACCCUUGUCGUUAAUUGCCAUCAUUUAGUUGGGCACUUUAACGAGACUGCCGGUGACAAACCGGAGGAAGGUGGGGAUGACGUCAAGUCCUCAUGGCCCUUAUGGGUAGGGCUUCACACGUCAUACAAUGGUCGGUACAAAGGGUUGCCAAGCCGCGAGGCGGAGCCAAUCCCAGAAAGCCGAUCGUAGUCCGGAUUGCAGGCUGCAACUCGCCUGCAUGAAGUCGGAAUCGCUAGUAAUCGUGGAUCAGCAUGUCACGGUGAAUACGUUCCCGGGUCUUGUACACACCGCCCGUCACACCAUGGGAGCGGGUUCCGCCAGAAGUAGGUAGCCUAACCGCAAGGGGGGCGCUUACCACGGCGGGGUUCGUGACUGGGGUGAAGUCGAAACAAGGUAGCCGUAGGGGAACCUGCGGCUG